GUGCCAGCCGCCGCGGUAAUACGUAGGUGGCAAGCGUUGUCCGGAUUUAUUGGGCGUAAAGCGAGCGCAGGCGGUUCUUUAAGUCUGAUGUGAAAGCCCCCGGCUCAACCGGGGAGGGUCAUUGGAAACUGGGGAACUUGAGUGCAGAAGAGGAGAGUGGAAUUCCAUGUGUAGCGGUGAAAUUCGUAGAUAUAUGGAAGAACACCAGUGGCGAAAGCGGCUCUCUGGUCUGUAACUGACGCUGAGGUUCGAAAGCGUGGGUAGCAAACAGGAUUAGAUACCCUGGUAGUCCACGCUGUAAACGAUGAAUGCUAAGUGUUGGAGGGUUUCCGCCCUUCAGUGCCGCAGCAAACGCAUUAAGCAUUCCGCCUGGGGAGUACGACCGCAAGGUUGAAACUCAAAGGAAUUGACGGGGGCCCGCACAAGCGGUGGAGCAUGUGGUUUAAUUCGAGGCAACGCGAAGAACCUUACCAGGUCUUGACAUCUUCUGAUAACCUAAGAGAUUAGGUGUUCCCUUCGGGGACAGAAUGACAGGUGGU
rnacentral:rRNA from 1 species